GACGAACGCUGGCGGCGUGCUUAACACAUGCAAGUCGAACGGAAAGGCCCUGCUUUUGUGGGGUGCUCGAGUGGCGAACAGGUGAGUAACACGUGAGUAACCUGCCCUUGACUUUGGGAUAACUUCAGGAAACUGGGGCUAAUACCGGAUAGGAGCUCCUGCUGCAUGGUGGGGGUUGGAAAGUUUCGGCGGUUGGGGAUGGACUCGCGGCUUAUCAGCUUGUUGGUGGGGUAGUGGCUUACCAAGGCUUUGGCGGGUAGCCGGCCUGAGAGGGUGACCGGCCACAUUGGGACUGAGAUACGGCCCAGACUCCUACGGGAGGCAGCAGUGGGGAAUAUUGCACAAUGGGCGGAAGCCUGAUGCAGCAACGCCGCGUGCGGGAUGACGGCCUUCGGGUUGUAAACCGCUUUCGCCUGUGACGAAGCGUGAGUGACGGUAAUGGGUAAAGAAGCACCGGCUAACUACGUG
rnacentral:rRNA from 1 species